CAUAUGGCGCCUCAUAUGUAAUUUGGCGAGGCGGAUUCCCAGCUACUGUAUUCAAAUUAGAUGCCCUAUAUUAAUUUAUUACACCGACCUGAAGGGGAGUGUUCUGUACACAGAUACACUGUAGUGAUGGAGUCCCACAAUUUGUCCUGCAUCAUUUGUUUGGAUCCCUUCACCGUCCCAGUCACCGUCCCAGUCACCGUCCCAUGCGGUCACACCUUCUGUCGAGACUGCAUCACGGCUCACUGGGACACAAAGUCCAUGUCCGAUAUGCCCUGUCUGCAAUGAGAAAUUCACCACCAGGCUUGUCCUGAAUCGCAACGUGUCCCUGUCCUCUCUGGCUGAGGCCUCAGCGAACAGUGCCGGUGCAUCCGGUAGAGACACUGUACCAGUUAUGAGGGGCGACAUGGCCAGAGCCAUGACCCUGAUUCUGUGUGACCGACACAAGAAGCCCCUGGUGUACUAUUGCCGGACAGACAACGUGUGUGCUGUGAGUGUGCCAUCUCUGAGUGUAAGAACCACGAGGAGGUGCUGGUGGAGUGUGAGAGGGAGAACUGAGAGUCACUACUGUGGAGGAAGAGUGUGGAGGUGGGAAUAUGUAUAGAGGAGACUGAAAGGAGCUGGGCUGACAGAAUAUCGCCAAAGCCAAGCUCCCUCCACAGACCGCUGCACUCUGACCCUCGUACAGCCAACAGUCACCUGCUACUCUCCCAGGAGCGCUGCGCCGUGUCCCCGCCCACGAGACUCACCCAGACCACACCUGGCAGGUGCUCUGCUUCCAGGGCUUCAAACACAGAAAGCAGUACUGGGAGCUGGAGGUGUCCAAGCCAUGGGCCUGCCUGGGGGUCAAAGUGUGAUGGCCAUGGUAGCCCAGAGCAGGGGGUCAGAGUGUGAAGGCCAUGGUAGCCCAGAGCAGGGGGUCAGAGUGUGAAGGCCAUGGUAGCCCAGAGCAGGGGGUCAGAGUGUGAAGGCCAUGGUAGCCCAGAGCAGGGGGUCAGAGUGUGAAGGACAUGGUAGCCCAGAGCAGGGGGUCAGAGUGUGAAGGCCAUGGUAGCCCAGAGCAGGGGGUCAGAGUGUGAAGGACAUGGUAGCCCAGAGCAGGGGGUCAGAGUGUGAAGGCCAUGGUAGCCCAGAGCAGGGCUAUUCAACUGACAACAGGGGGGGGAGCAGUGUAACUGGCUUCCAGGUCUAGAGUUGAGUUUGGGGACUAUAGAAUUGCACCUGUGUCUUUUGAGACUUCCCAACAUAACCUUUGACCCCUGCAUAUCUCCCCUAGUUCACCUAUGAGGGCAUCCCCAGGAAGGAAAAGGGAAAGAGUAGCAUGGUGGUAAUGAACGAUCUGUCCCGGAGCCUCCAGCUAGAUGAGGAUCAUAACCUUUGACCCCUGCGUCUCUCCUCCAGUUCACUUAUGAGGGCAUCCCCAGGAAGGAAAAGGGAAAGAGUAGCAUGGUGGUAAUGAACGAUCUGUCCUGGAGCCUCCAGCUAGACGAGGAUCAGCUGAACGCCUGGCGCAGCGGGCACCGGGAGACGGUGGCUGGUCAUUACAACCACAUUGUAAUGCUGCUGGAUUACGAGGCCGGAACGCUGACGUACUACGAAGACAGGCAGAUGAGGCUGCAUUCCUUCUACUGUGCCUUCACUCAGGAGCUGUUCCCCCGCCUGUCUGAUAGGGGAGGGCGUCAGCGUCACCCUCUGCUCGCUGUGACGACAACACGCAAGGGAACAACUGAGCUGACACUGUCAUAAGGGACUAGUCUUGCAAAGCUGAUGAGUGUUGUGAUCUCGCCUUACUGUACAGAUGUUUUUACAGUCCUGUUGUGGGACUUGGACUUGAACGGGAGCGACUAGUAUUUGAUUUGAUUUAGUAAGUACUUAUGUGACACGGGACUCUUCUGCACUGUUAAUGUUCUGAAAUAUGGGAUCACUCAGGACAGUGGACUAGUCUUCGGGAUACUGUUGUGGACUUGCAGGUUCUCAGAACCGUGAGCACAGUUAGGAACUGGAAAUGACUACUGUGCGGGAAACUGGUUUUCCUUAAGAGAAGGGAAAAGCACAUGUCUAGGGUCCCUAAAGGCCGAAGAAAUUUCACAGAAGUUCCUGUUGGAUUUCUAAUGGAGCUGAUGUUAAAUGUUUUUCACUACUUUGUGUUGGAAGUUGGAACUGGACAAAUAUGGUAUUUAAAAUGUGGUCUUCCGAAUUAGACAGCUUGUUGUUUUGUUAAACAAGACAAUGACGUAGCGUAUAAAAAAAGAAAUACAGAAAGUCAGGUACCCAGGCUUGCAUCACAAUGUGUACAGAAAAAUGCACUACUGUCAAAUGAAUAAAAUGGACACACUUCACAUCACAAGAUCAGUUUAAUAAAAAUUCAAUCCAUAUUAGUUACAAUUGAGCCCAUGCUUUGGUCUUUUUAAUAAUAUAUUUGACCAUUUCAAAUGAAUUAAUCAAUAAAUUAGUGGGAACUUGAAAUAAAUAUA